CCCGGAUGAGAGCGCACGCUUCGGGGUCUCCGGGAAGUCGCGGCGCCUUCGGAUGUGGCGGAUGCGGCCGUGAGCCGGCGGGGGAGUUCCUCCAGAUCCAGCUGUGCCCUCGCCUGACGUUUGAACGACCACCUGCUCACCUCCUCCCUUUUGCGCGUUGAUUCUUCAGACUUCAAAGGGCCCACCUGUCUGCUUGCCCAACGUUAUUAGUGCCCCUAUUGCUCUACAAAUUCGAACCUCUAACACAAAACCAAUAUUUCUCCGUAGGGAACCUUAAUGAGCCAGGAGAGCAGUCAGCCCUGCAGCCUCCAGGGUACCCCACAUCAAACAGGCUCCCCGGGAACAAGAGGAAUACCACGUGGCUUGGCACACUCGCAGAAUGCCAGAGAGGAGCCAACCCCCAUUUUACAGAUGAGAAAGCUGAGGCUUAGGGAGGAAUUGGUUUACCUAAGACCCUCCCCACAACCCCAAGUAGGCUGAGGCAGAGCUAUGUUGAUUCUUCCUAUUGUGCACCCACACAGAGGCCAACACGCUGCUGAACCAGGCUGAACUGAGGAAAAGCUAGAAAGUCAUCGUGGUUUAUAUCUUGCCUUUCCCAUAGCAGAGACUCUGCCUGACUUUGGAGGCACUGAAUUAUCAGUAGUAAAAACACACUCUGUAGAAAAACUAGACAUUGGUUUAGAUUCUGGCUGUUACCUGUAUUACCUUGGACAAGUCCCUAGAGCUCUCUGAGUCUAUUUCCCAGAAGUAAAAUGGGUCACAAACCUGGCUAGCUCCCCCCAUUCCCUUCCCUUUUGGUGCCAAGGCCAGUGAGGGCAAGCGUGUGACGAGCUUUGCUAACUUUUUCGCUGCAUGUGAUGCCCGUGUAAAAGAUAGUUAUUCUGAGGAUCACUGUCCUUUAGUGAUGAAGUGGGUGCUGUUCCCGGACAUAAAGGCAGACCUGUGCUUGACAUGGAUUGAUCUGUCUUCUGGCAGUGAAGUGCAGGCAUGAACCUUGGUCAGCCCCACACUCUUCUCCAUCCGUAGCCCAUGUACUAGAGUUUGGACUUGGACCGAAGUCUGGGGCAGCUCCCUAAUUACUAGGGUGCUGAAGGCGUGAUUGUGCCAGUCGACUGCGAGUUCCUUCCGCAGCUUGUAUCGUUACCCACUCCUGCAGGUGCUGCUGCUGCCUCCACUGUACUCAGACCCAGGUAGCACAGGAUUGUCCAUCCUCCAGCAGCUCAGUGCAACGGUGUGAACUCCGCCUGUUUCAGAGCCUCCACACCAUGGCUGGAGUGCAAUGGCGCAAUCUCAGCUCACCACAACCUCCGCCUCCCAGGUUCAAGCAAUUCUCCUGCCUCAGCCUCCCGAGUAGCUGGAAUUACGGACCUCCAAGAAGCUGGUGAACUCGGUGGCUGGCUGUGCUGAUGACGCUCUUGCUGGCCUGGUGGCCUGCAACCCCAACCUGCAGCUCUUGCAGGGCCACCGCGUGGCCCUCCGUUCUGACCUGGACAGCCUCAAGGGCCGGGU
rnacentral:sRNA from 1 species